GGGUUGUGAGGUUAAGCGACUAAGCGUACACGGUGGAUGCCCUGGCAGUCAGAGGCGAUGAAGGACGUGCUAAUCUGCGAUAAGCGUCGGUAAGGUGAUAUGAACCGUUAUAACCGGCGAUUUCCGAAUGGGGAAACCCAGUGUGAUUCGUCACACUAUCAUUAACUGAAUCCAUAGGUUAAUGAGGCGAACCGGGGGAACUGAAACAUCUAAGUACCCCGAGGAAAAGAAAUCAACCGAGAUUCCCCCAGUAGCGGCGAGCGAACGGGGAGGAGCCCAGAGCCUGAAUCAGUGUGUGUGUUAGUGGAAGC
rnacentral:rRNA from 1 species